rnacentral:rRNA from 1 species
CGCGAAAACUCUACAAUGCAGGCAACUGCGAUAGGGGGACAUCGAGUGGCAUCCACCUUGGGUGCCUGUCCAACCGUCUAAAAAACGGUUGUUAGCAAGGGCCGGGUAAGACCGGUGCCAGCCGCCGCGGUAAUACCGGCGGCUCGAGUGGUGGCCGAUAUUAUUGAGUCUAAAGGGUCCGUAGCCGGCUUUGCAAGUCCCCUGGGAAAUCCAGCGGCUUAACCGUUGGGCUUUCAUGGGAUACUACAUUGCUUGGGACUGGGAGAGGUAGGAGGUACUCGGGGGGUAGGGGUGAAAUCCUGUAAUCCUCCGGGGACCACCGGUGGCGAAGGCGUCCUACCAGAACAGGUCCGACGGUGAGGGACGAAAGCUAGGGGCACGAACCGGAUUAGAUACCCGGGUAGUCCUAGCCGUAAACGAUGCCCGCUAGGUGUCACGACGGUCGUGAAUCGUCGUGGUGCCGUAGGGAAGCCGCGAAGCGGGCCGCUUGGGAAGUACGGCCGCAAGGCUGAAACUUAAAGGAAUUGGCGGGGGAGCAC